CAGCCGCCGCGGUAAAACGAGGGGGGCAAGCGUUGUUCGGAAUUAUUGGGCGUAAAGGGUGCGUAGGCGGCUUGACAAGUCUUGUGUGAAAUCUAUGGGCUCAACCCAUAGUCUGCACGGGAAACUGUCGGGCUUGAGAAUGGGAGAGGUGAGUGGAAUUUCCGGUGUAGCGGUGAAAUGCGUAGAUAUCGGAAGGAACACCUGUGGCGAAAGCGGCUCACUGGACCAUUUCUGACGCUGAUGCACGAAAGCUAGGGGAGUAAACAGGAUUAGAUACCCCCGUAGUCCCUGUCUCUUAUAC
rnacentral:rRNA from 1 species